rnacentral:ncRNA from 1 species
CGCAUGACAGGUGUUCGGCUCAACUGGUCGGGGGACCCUAAGCUUAGGACUUCCCUCGACUAGUUGGCCGUUCUGAGAUUAUACUGUCAAAACUUGAUCUAGACAAUACUAGCGAAAGGACAUGCGUGACUUUGAUU